rnacentral:rRNA from 1 species
AGUGAACGCUGGCGGUAGGCCUAACACAUGCCAGUCGAACGGCAGCACAGUAAGAGCUUGCUCUUACGGGUGGCGAGUGGCGGACGGGUGAGGAAUACAUCGGAAUCUACUUUUUCGUGGGGGAUAACGUAGGGAAACUUACGCUAAUACCGCAUACGACCUACGGGUGAAAGCAGGGGAUCUUCGGACCUUGCGCGAUUGAAUGAGCCGAUGUCGGAUUAGCUAGUUGGCGGGGUAAAGGCCCACCAAGGCGACGAUCCGUAGCUGGUCUGAGAGGAUGACAAGCCACCCAGGAACAGAGAAAGGGCCCAAAUCCCGAGGGGAGGCAGAAGGGGGGAAAAUGGGAAAAAGGGGGAAAGCAGAAUCCAGCCAAACCGGGGGGGUGAAGAAGGCCUUCGGGUUGUAAAGCCCUUUUGUUGGGAAAAAAAAGCAGCAGGUUAAUACCCCGCUGUUCUGAGGGUACCCAAAAAAAAAGCACCGGCAAACUUCGU